rnacentral:rRNA from 1 species
UGAACGCUGGCGGUAUGCCUAACACAUGCAAGUCGUACGGGAGUUUUUAACUCAAGUGGCGGACGGGUGAGUAACACGUGAGAAUUUGCCUUUAGGAGGGGGAUAACAGCUGGAAACGGCUGCUAAUACCCCAUAUGCUUUCGAGUGAAAUGGAAUUAUCCGCCUAGAGAGAAGCUCGCGGCUGAUUAGCUUGUUGGUAAGGUAAUGGCUUACCAAGGCGACGAUCAGUAUCUGGUUUGAGAGGACGAUCAGACACACUGGAACUGAGACACGGUCCAGACUCCUACGGGAGGCAGCAGUGGGGAAUUUUCCGCAAUGGGCGAAAGCCUGACGGAGCAAUACCGCGUGAGGGAAGACUGCCUAUGGGUUGUAAACCUCUUUUUUCAGGGAGGAAGUAAUUGACGUGUACCUGAAGAAUAAGCAUCGGCUAACUCC